rnacentral:rRNA from 1 species
UCCGGUUGAUCCUGCCGGACCCGACUGCUAUCAGAGUGGGACUAAGCCAUGCGAGUUAACGCAGCAAUGCGUGGCAUACGGCUCAGUAACACGUAGUCAACAUGCCCAGGGGACGUGGAUAACCUCGGGAAACUGAGGAUAAACCGCGAUAGGCCAAGGUUUCUGGAAUGGAUCAUGGCUGAAACCUACAUGGCCCCUGGAUUGGACUGCGGCCGAUCAGGCUGUUGGUGAGGUAAUGGCCCACCAAACCUGUAACCGGUACGGGCUCUGAGAGGAGGAGCCCGGAGAUGGGCACUGAGACAAGGGCCCAGGCCCUAUGGGGCGCAGCAGGCGCGAAACCUCUGCAAUAGGCGAAAGCUUGACAGGGUUACUCUGAGUGACGUCCGUUAAGGACGUCUUUUGGCACCUCUAAAAAUGGUGCAGAAUAAGGGGUGGCAAGUCUGGUGUCAGCCGCCGCGGUAAUACCAGCACCCCGAGUGGUCGGGACGAUUAUUGGGCCUAAAGCAUCCGUAGCCGGUUCUGCAAGUCUUCCGUUAAAUCCACCUGCUCAACAGAUGGGCCGCGGAGGAUACUACAGGGCUAGGAGGCGGGAGAGGCAAGCGGUACUCAGUGGGUAGGGGUAAAAUCCUCUGAUCCACUGAAGACCACCAGUGGCGAAGGCGGCUUGCCAGAACGCGCUCGACGGUGAGGGAUGAAAGCUGGGGGAGCAAACCAGAUUAGAUACCCGGGUAGUCCCAGCUGUAAACGAUGCAGACUCGGUGAUGGGUUGGCUUUGGGCCAACCCAGUGCCGCAGGGAAGCCGUUAAGCCCGCCGCCUGGGGAGUACGGCCGCAAGGCUGAAACUUAAAGGAAUUGGCGGGGGAGCACCACAAGGGGUGAAGCUUGCGGUUUAAUUGGAGUCAACGCCGGAAACCUUACCGGGGGCGACAGCAGAGUGAAGGCCAGAUUAAAGGUCUUGCCAGACAAGCUGAGAGGAGGUGCAUGGCC